CAACAACGAAGAAAAAUGCUGUUAUCGAUAAAUGAUGAUGUUAGGCUAGAGUAUAUGGCUAGAAUGGCGUUGUAGCCUGUGAAUAACAACGAGUGAAAGCGGCCCGCGCGAGUGUCCAAGGUUGAUGUGUCGAAAAGAUACAGCAGAUCAAGGAAGUACAUGUCGGAUGGAUUACUGGCUUUCUCGGAGAGCCGUUCUUUUUUUAAUCGCAAUCGGAAACAAGGGUCGCUUCGUUUUGUUUAAACCUACGAUACUUCAUUGCGAACAACUGAAAAAUUGUGGCACGCCAAACGGGUCUAGGACUUGCAAGUACCGAAUAGGAUCUCUCAAGGCCUGUAAUCUCGUUAGAGAAAUGAAGUUUCUUAGGAACCUACGAUUGAGUCGUCCUAAAUUGAGCCGUCUUAGGAUUAUUAUUGUUAGUGCCAUCCAAUAGCCUGGCAAGUGAGCUACGCCUGCGCCAGAUAAAGAAGCUUAACAAAAAUAAUCUAUAACAUGGGCAUUGGAGCAAGGCCUGGUACUUUCACUUGAGACAUAUAUGGAAAUUAACUUGUCUAGUGUAACAUCUCUAUUUGUAGGACACCUCGAGCUGAACUGUACAGCAAAUUACUGCAGAGUAACAGAGCCGAGCUACCUGAGUAUACAACUGCCACACACGACUGAAUCUACAUAGAAGGAAACAUAAAAGGACAACUAAUAUGUAAUGAUUAAGGCGCUUUAAGGUCUGUAAGUUCGAGUCAGAGUUGCUAUACGGAUUGUUGAAGUAUCAAGGAAGGACUACGGCGCAUUUGCAUUUAUUAUAGAAACGACGUUGGUAUCUUGCCUUUGGUAGGCUGUUUUUGGCAUCUGUAUUUACCAGUAUUCAGCUAGAAAAACAAAAUAGCCGAAACAAAAAACGCGGCGUUACUAAUAUGUCUCGAAAUAUCUACUUAUAUAUAAUUAUAUUCAGUCAGUUAAUAUGUGCAAUUGAAAAAAAAAAAAGCAAAUCGGAACAUAUAUAUGGGAAACAACGACAACGAGAAAAGUGGCACGUCUUGUAGUCUUACCGUUAUUUCUGUGAAUGUAUAAGAAAUGUGUGCCAAUGAAUUAUUAGGUCCAUAGAUUAUUUAUGCUUAGAGUUUCAAGAUGCUCUUGCUGAUCCUGGGUAAGUUCGUCACUCGGCUAAGCUCUACAGAUUUGACAUAUAACAAUUUUCAAAAAUAUGUAUCCAUCACACAAUGCGUGCAAGGAGAAGCCACACACGUACCGUGCAAGUUGUUCCUUACUUGAAAACAUUCAUUCCUCCAUUUUCUACCUUGUUCAGCCACCAUCUCUAACUACGCCUUCAAAGAUCAGGAGCUGGUUGCCGCAACAUUUUAGCGUUCAACCUUUAUUAUUUUCACCAGCAUAGGAUACUACGUAGUGUAUAUCUGAAACGGCAGCGAGGAGAUUUCUUAUACCUUCUACAUGGUGUAGUUUUUGUUAGCAGUAUUGCCUAUGGCUGUGGAUUUUGAAACUGACUGUUUUUUAGUCAUCAUUUUGCUUUUGCGUUAUCAAAAGAAUAGUCAAUUAAAUACAGACACAUCACAUAGAAGACACACAGGCAAUUCAAAGUGCGCUUACAUAAACACUGAGGAUAUACAAGUUUUUUUAGCCGCCUUUCAGUAACGGGGCAGACUUGCUUUCUGUAAGAACAAUCGUACCGUAUUAAUAGUCAUUGAUGUAGUCGUUUCUAUUGGUUUUACCUCGACAGGCUUCGUUUCAGUGAAGAUGCUUAAGUUUGUAAAUUCUUUCUAUUCGCAAAGGUGUAAUAUCGAAAGCCAGCAUGAGUUCGUCGACGCUAGAAUAGAGAAGCAGCUGAACAAACCCUUUUAAAACGUUUCGAGAAGGACUCUUAUGAUUUUUACAUUAUAGAACCUAGCAUCUUUUUCAAAAAUAGCUUUGUUAGCAACCUGGGGAUUUCCAUUGAUACAGAGACACCACUUCUACUCUUCGGUGAUGAUUGUGUAUGAAAAAUCUGUUGUUGUGGAAACACAUUGCUCUUCGUGAGAUGCAGCUCUUCAUCUUGAGCGGAAACGGUAAGCCAGUUUGCACUGAUGACUUUUCUCAGGGCCUGGGAAAGUCGAAAGCUAACUUUUUGAGAAAGCCUCAUCAAGUGAAAAUGAUAUAAUGUUGUCAUUAAGUCUAUCUCAAUUGUUGGCUUGAUUGAUGACCGUCCUUCUUUUAAAUGUGCCUCCGAAUGUUUCUCGUUGAAGUUAAGUGGUGUACUGAAAGCAGACAGAAAUUACUAAUUCAACAUUUCACAAGCGGUUCUCGAGCAAUUUGAAUAAAGACCGCGUCUUCUCCAUACACAGCACAAAAGUCGUGGGUUGCUAAGCAGCAUUUCAAGCUCCCUGAAAGGCAUUAUGCUGGAGAAGUCGAGAUUGCUGUCUAUUUGUCGAGAUUUAUCAUGGUACAUUCUUUAUCUUCAAACAGAACCGAUGACCACAGAUUUGCUGCGAAAAUUCGGGGCGUAUUCGAGUCCAUUAUAAUGCAUUAUAUAUCAGUCAAUAUUAUAACGCAACGUUUCUCAUUUAGAUCUACGAAAAGAAUCUGCAGCAGGUCUAAAGUUAAGAUGCUCAACAGGCCAAAAAUGUUCACUGUUAUAUGAAUACACGCGUGCUGUAAACAUAAGCCAAAGUUUGUCUUGUUUAAUCCAAAGGCCUUCUUACGCAAAUAAGCACAAACCUGACAAAGAUAACACGCUACACAUGGAUUUUGAAAAUUUAAGGCAAAAAGUAAAUACGUCCUUCGUUUUUCAUCAGUCCAGUUCCAUUCCUUUUGCCAAUGACCGUCGCCGGUGCCGGGACUCCUAGGCGAAUAUCCAAUAUUCUCUGGCCCAAACCAUAUUUAACUAGUAGCUAGAAUUUGCAAAAUGCUCUGCAGCUUUCUCUUUUUCUGAGAGUUUUCUGCGUGCUAUUUUUCAGUAUUAUCAUAAAAGAACGUUUUAGAACAACUUGGUUCUUGCUUGCAAACUAUCUACACGAAGUUACCGUUUUUUGAAUAACUAACACGUCUCGGUCUGGCGUGAUUUAUUCAGCAAUGUACAUUUGUUUAAAUGCUAAAAAGGGCUGUUUUUUUUAGAUUUAAAAAUUCUUAUUAUACAACAACCAGCGACAGUUACUGCCGUUGACUCGAUCUACUUCCUGUUCAGACGGCUUUCUUCAAAAAGAAAAAAGUCCCUAAGUAAAUCACCUGUAUUGUAGUUUUUUUUACAUAAAUUUGAUCCAGAACACGAUUUUGCCUCUGUUUAAUUUCAGUUACAGCGUACGUGCGUUCGUUAAUGCCCCCUUUUUUGAUACCUUCUCGCCUGCCUCACGCUUCUUCUCCUCAGUCCUGAUACAUGGCUAGUAGUGUUAUGUCCUUAUGCCGAAGUCUUCUCACUCAGUUCAACGGUCAAACGCAACGUAACUGAUGCACGCCCAAGCUAUGGUUAUACAGCUGGCAUUUAAAGCAUGGCUUUUGAUCAGUGUAUUUCUACUCCCAGUGUUGAUAGCAAAAUCUGGCAAAAACAAAUGACACUGGCUAUAUUUGACAUAUCAGAAAUCAACUGCCGUUUUUAUCCUUUCAUCGUGUGUAUUUGGCAUUAAACGGGGAACAAUGACAUGGUACCCUUUUAGUUUCACCGACUGCGAAACUGUAGUUGUUGUCUUCCAUCCAGCCUCAUUUGCUCUUGUUCACUGUUCGCUUUCCAUAUUGAAGCUUCAUUAAAACAUAAGAUGAGAAGAAGCUAAUCCCAAGCCGACAUUUACGAAACGUCCACAUAAUUUGGGAGAAGAAGUAAUGUUGUGGAAACAUACGAAGCGGUGAGGAUGUGGAAAAGUUGUCUUUAUGCGCCACUAGAGUUGGAAAUAAAUCUGAUGACAAGAAUCGCAAAAACGGUAGUCCUGACUGGAAUGGAAACUUAUUCAUAGAGACAUUUUUCUCAUAGACAACCACAGAAUUCUCGUCUACAGGUUUUUCAACCGUUGCUAGUCCCCUGUUCCGUUCCGUUUCAAAAACACUCCACACCACGAAAUAGGGCACACUGUCGUUAUUAUCGGCUAGUUCCAUGGGCGGGGCAAGAGGCAUUCAAAAGACUGGAGAAGAUGGAUGCUUGGGCAUUUCAAUUUAACAUUGGAGAUUCUAUUCAUCUUUCGAUUACAUUUUUCAUAAUUCCGCUCGAUAUGUUCGUAUUAUUUUGAAUGAACCUAUAGCUCUAGAAAAGAGCACCAAAAUGGCAAACGAACCAGUUUUGCCUGGGAGUUUGUGCGGCCUUCAAGGCGGCACAUUUUUCAUUUUCCUGGCCCGCUUUUCGUCCUUUAGCUUUCUGCUUCCCGACAGGCCUCUCAGUGACCCUACCGCUAUUGGCCGAAUGUUCUGCUCCAUUGCAUCCUCGUAGAGCCAUCAAAAUUUUCUCAACGCUGCGUCUUCACAGUAGGACCGCGUACUGCAGAGUACUGACAAUACCAUUUUGUUAACUACCUUUAAUCUACAUUCGUUGUGUGUAUUGGUAGCAUAGAGUCAUGGGUCACAGGACAUGGUGUUGGGUUAAUUUUAAGUUGACAUGAUUGAAUGACGUUCGUUCGUUCGUUCGAGCUAGACUUUCAUGGAGUGCAUUAUGUUUAGCCCCACAAUGCAGUAAGCAUCAUGGUUAGUGUCCAUGUAUCUCUAUUAUGCCUUUCAAGUUCCGGAGCUGAAACAGACUUGAGAAGCAAAAACGGAAACAUGCUUGUGACAAUGAGCUUCUUGAGCAAGGAGUCUUAACCUCCUUAGUUGAUGGAGGAAGCCAUGUCAGCAACAUCUGUAGAAGUACUCGACAAUAAAAAUCGAUCCUCUGCCCAAACGUUACAGGGCCUUAGUAGGUAGUUUGGGUUGAAAAGUGUUCUUCCUGAAGUGGGCCUAGGACAGCUCAUUAUGCCAAAACAGGCUAAAUACAGCAGCGCAGAACCUGUCUGACAAAAAUGCGAAUGAAGAAGCGACCAGCUCGACUCUGCGCCGAGCGUAAGAACUGUCGCAUUCUCAGACAAGUAGGUGGCAAAUCUUGCAUUUAGAUUUCGGCUGUUAUCCUCGUAAAGUAAUACGAAGCGCAGCGCACGAAGCAAUUAUCCAACAGACUCCAACAGGUCCAACAGACCACAGAGCUUGGAUGGGAAUUCCUGGCAGUUGAUGUGUGGCCUCAUUUUCCUCAAUCGCUUCUCUUGUGGCUAUGUGAUCAGCAUAGUGUAUGCUAACAAAUGAGGCACGAACAAUUAUCUAGGUACGAGCAACCAAUAUUGAGGCAAUGAUUUAGUUCACUAAUGGCGAAACGCUUUAGUCUUUUGUAUAAAAGGUUUCUACUUAGCUCUUCUCGUGCCAAGGAAAUCUCAUAUAUGUUAUAUUUAGAUAUGGCCGAUGCUGUAUUUUAUUGAUAAACCAAGUUUAGAACUAUGUGUUCGCAGGGUCAAGUCCACAGAGGGCAAAAAAGUACCCUUUCGAGCAUUUAGCUACAUACAUGUGAAAGCUCAUAUGAAAUUAAGAACGGUUGCGCACCGCAUGUUUGCACUGUAUUCUAAGGAGCUACAAUUAUUGCAGCUUUAGGCUUGUUCCUUGCGGAAACAUAAAAGUCGACCAUUUGUUAUAGUCUAUUGACAGUUCGAGCAUAGUAUUCAGAGGUCCGACUGAAUUGCCCGAACGGUCUUAGACUAAAUGUGAAACUCUAUUUCUGACCAAUCAUAGGCACAACUUCAGCCUCAACCCGAAUGCGGUUAAAGAUAUUAGGAUUCUCUAAUUGCCUAACGCAGAUUUACUAAUAACCUAUAAUCAUUGAGAAAAAAUAAUUACUAAAAUUUUGCUUCUGCUGUUAACUUCUAAAUUUAAAAUUGAGUAGAUAAAGCAAGGUGAAAUCUUUGUGUGGUACAAAUCUGUCAGAGCACAAAGUUUGUUGCGGUUUUGAAGCAUGUUUACCUAUUUAUGCGUGGUUUGUAACAUUGAUCUGUCUCUUGUUGU